rnacentral:rRNA from 1 species
ACAGCAGCCGCCGCGGGAAUACGUAGGUGGCAAGCGUUAUCCGGAAUUAUUGGGCGUAAAGGGCUCGCAGGCGGUUUCUUAAGUCUGAUGUGAAAGCCCCCGGCUCAACCGGGGAGGGUCAUUGGAAACUGGGAAACUUGAGUGCAGAAGAGGAGAGUGGAAUUCCACGUGUAGCGGUGAAAUGCGUAGAGAUGUGGAGGAACACCAGCGGCGAAGGCGACUCUCUGGUCUGUAACUGACGCUGAGGAGCGAAAGCGUGGGGAGCGAACAGGAUUAGAUACCCCUGUAGUCCCUGUCUCUUAUAC